GCUCUGCGGCGCCCCCCCCCAAUCACCCCCCCUCGUUCUACCUCCCUCAGGUCCUCUUCGGCGUGCCCCGCUGUCGGUGGGGUGGGCGGCCGUGAGGGAAAAAGAAAUGCAAGUCUGAGUGAUUCAAGAUGAGAAAUGGCUAAGCAGCACAUUGAAGACUCUAGUUCGGUUCAGCAUCUGCCCAAGGCCCGGGGAAAUGCUUUGGCUCAGCUGCCUUCAAUUUGUCUUCAUCACCAUCAUUAAUACUUAUUUCCUCACUGGAAUGAAAGCCGGGAUGGUACUCGCUGGGUGAAUACUCCGGCACAAAAGCUGCAGUGACUCAUCCAUCCCCUGAUGCCAUUACGAGGCACGGAAGAGCUCACACACGCUGUGCCUCCGAGCUGUUUGGAAACUCCACGUCCAGUGAAGGACUUUUUAUUGCUUACAGCCCAGCAGCUGUAUUUUCACUAAGCAAAAGGACUACCUGAAGAGAAAGUGCCCAGCCAAGGCAGCUGGAAAGAGGCCAGCGCUCGAGGCGCUCUGGCUGGCUACGCACAGCUCCCCUCCCGCCAGACAGCCCCGUGCUGCUGCCCAGCUCACACUGACUUUGUGUCUGCCAGUUGUAAA